rnacentral:tRNA from 1 species
CGGUCGGUAGCCAAGUCCGGUUAAGGCACUCGCCUUUUAAGCGAGGUAUCGUGGGUUCGAAUCCCACCCGAUCGG